AAAUUUACAGGGGAGAUGGAUUGGAUGGCGGUGGAGUAAAAUAGAACAAUUGGGAAGUGGGAGGGUGUUUUCAAGGGUCAACUUGGAAAAUUUGAAAAUCGAAGAAGAAGGAAUUCCUUCAAAACACUAAGCGCUAAAUCGUCCAGAGAUCUGGGAUCGAUAUUGAUGCUUUCGUUAUUAAACAUCUUUAUCAUAAAUUCGCACACGCGACAACUCAACCCUUUGGAUAACAGCAUUUCCAGAUCGCGCGUUAAGCCGCAGCUUCGCACAGAUGAAGACAUGGUGAGUAUUUUUAUCACCGGCCCAGACACCUGUACUUGAAGAAUGGGUUGCGCCAGGGGUCGUGAAGAGAGCACUCGAAAACGUGGGUGUGCCGUGAAGUAUCCAAUAAACAGGCAAGCAACAGAUUGCCUCAAGCGACAGAUUGA